rnacentral:rRNA from 1 species
UACGAAGGGGGCGAGCGUUGUUCGGAAUUACUGGGCGUAAAGCGCGCGUAGGCGGGAGGCCAAGUCCGCUGUGAAAUCGCCCGGCUCAACUGGGCGCGGUCGGUGGAAACUGGUCACCUGGAGGACGGUAGAGGCGAGUGGAAUUCCCGGUGUAGUGGUGAAAUGCGUAGAGAUCGGGAGGAACACCAGUGGCGAAGGCGGCGACCUGGGACAAUACUGACACUGAGGUGCGAAAGCGUGGGGAGCAAACAGG